GCAUUGGGGUUGCGCUGGGGUGGGUGUCCAGCGCUGUAGGAGGAACGCGGUGGGAGGAAGGCUUGCGGGCGUGCGGACUCGGCUUCGGGCCGAGCGCUUUGAAGAAUUUUGCAGAACCCUGCUACCUACAGACUCUGCCAUGGAUGUCAUGUAAAGAAACCCCGGAUGUAGUAACGGACAAAACAUGAGUCAGUUUGUGUUGUGGCAUUCAGAUCUGAACACACUGGGAGAGAUUGUGGAGGACCCGAGGAACUUACGGAGUUUGUUUGUUUUCUGUCCACUGUGACUCCAGAAGUGAUUCUGAAUGGAGAAGACGUAGGACCGGUCAGUGGUAGGAUGGACUGUGCUUGGAAGACAGGCACCUGGAGCUCUCAGUUUGGACUAGGCUGGCUGGCAGUAAGCCCCCAGGAUCCUCCUGUUCUCACACUAGGUACUAACUAGGGUUACAAAUUUGAUAUCACAUGAUGUCACAUGAAAUCAGGCCUUGAUGCACAUAGCAAGCACUUUACCAAUUGAGCCGUCUUUCCAGACUCAACAGUUUUGUUUGUUUUUAAAGAUCUAUGCACUAUUAUGUGGGUACAUCUGCACACCAGAAGACAGCAUCAGACAGCUGUGAGCUGCCGUGUGGGUGUUGGGAAUUGAACUCAGGACCUUUGGAAAAGCAGUGAGCGUUCUUAACCAUUGAGCCAUCUCUCCAGCUCCCAAUGAAAGUUUUUUUUAAAGCUUGCACUUUUCUUGGGAACAAAACAAGCAGACAAAGUAAAAUAAUUAAAAGGUAGUUACAAUGAAAUCAGUAUAUCAUUGAACUAAAAAACCUUUUUCAGAGAAUGGCGAGGUGGCUCAGUGGCUAAGCAGUACUUACUGCACACAUCUGAGGUCCAGAGUCUGGAGCCCAGCACCUGUGUAACAAGCCCUCUACAAACUUUUAGACUUGCUAGUAGAUUUUCUGUUCUGUCUUUAAGAGGCAUCAAACACCAAGAUUGUGAAGACCAUGGCCCAUCCUUAUGCAUUCAAGAGUUGAGUGUGGAUGACUUGGAGCUGAAAAACCCCUUCAGAAGCUUCAUGUGUCACGUGCAUUGAAGCUCUGCAUUAAACCCGCUCGCACAAGG
rnacentral:lncRNA from 1 species